rnacentral:rRNA from 1 species
GUGUCAGCCGCCGCGGUAAUACGGAGGGUGCAAGCGUUGUCCGGAAUCAUUGGGUGUAAAGGGUGCGUAGGCGGGCUAUUAUGUCUGGGGUGAAAUCUUGCCGCUUAACGGUAAAAUGGCCUUGGAUACUGGUAGUCUUGAGUGUAGAAGAGGCAGGUGGAAUUCGUAGUGUAGCGGUGAAAUGCAUAGAUAUUACGAAGAACAUCAGUGGCGAAGGCGGCCUGCUGGUCUACAACUGACGCUGAGGCACGAAAGCGUGGGGAGCGAACAGGAUUAGAUACCCUGGUAGUCCACGCUGUAAACGAUGCAUACUAGGUGUUGGCCUUUUGGGGUCAGUGCUGCAGUUAACGCAUUAAGUAUGCCGCCUGGGGAGUACGGUCGCAAGACUGAAACUUAAAUGAAUUGGCGGGG